AGACAGGGGCUGGAGAGCAGCCAAUCGGGAGCAAGCUCCUGCUCAUUGACCUGACCUGCUCAGGUUAAGGUUCACUUCCUCUGGACCCGUUGUGAGGAAAGAAAGCACGCCCCUCCAUCGAGUAAGAUAUUUACCUGUGACGAUACACCAAUAAAAGUGGACAAAACUGACAUCUCACUCUGGAGGAAAACGCAUCGUCUGCAUUAGAAGAAUGAUGGCGAGGCACGGCGCCUGCAGAGAAUCAAGAACUUGGAUGCCUUCAUCCCUUUGUUACACGCACAUACACAACUAACGCUUUCAACAGUGCGAUUUGCAUGCCAUAGAAGAAUGGACUACUGGCUUUGGUGGAGGAGCACCAGUAAGACCUGCCGUAUCCUCACACAUCCAAACCUCUUGCUCUAAUCACAGAUCUUGUAGAGGCGCUUCUGGGUGCAUUGGACCUUUUUGUGCGGCUGCAGAUGCUUGCCCUCAACUCAUGAAAUCAACCUGUGAGGGCUUCCAUUGGUGACCACUAUCUCUAAGGAUUAUGUUGUUGGUGGUCAUCUGCCAAUGCUGCUGACAGGAUUUUCUGAGAUGUGAAAGCUGGUUCAGUGAUGGCACCGAGCAUUCUUUGGGGGACGAGCAGGAUGCAGCACUGCACUCACUUCCAGUCCUAUCAUACCACACAUCUGCAUUGCCCAGAGUGGGAGUGUGAGGGCGACCAUCACCAGCAGUAGGGAGGGUCCACGGGAAAGUGACUUGCCUGCGGCCGCCGCUGCUGCACGUUCAUCACUUCUGUCAGCUCCAAUCACAGGAGCCUCUGUUCCAACAAAAACAAACUCUGUUGUGCAGCCGUCGGAGCAGCCGCUGCCACUGCCAGAACUGCUGCCCUCAUCACCUGCAGCAACAAAAUCACACAAAUUAAAAUUUACAUAGAAAUAUCUUUGCAAGCAGCUGUUGGUUUUGUGCCCAAGGCCUGGUUAUCAAGAGGUGUCACAGCGAAGUUCACCCAUGCAUCUCAGUGAUAUCGGUGGUAACUCACUUUGCUGAUUUGAAUUGUUUUGUUCAGUUCAAAGAUUCACUGUCACUAGCAAUGUAGUUCAACAUUUUCAGAGCUAAGUAAUAGCAUCAUCGUCUAAAUGGGUUUGCACUUGUUGGAAACCGAUUCACCUUAAUUUGAAUUAUUCAGUAUUGCAAUGACUACAUGACUGAAAAAUUAACGAAUACUGAAGUGCCAAUGUUAAUUUGAGGGUAGCUGACAGCUAGCUGGGGCUGCAUCUGAUUGCCCAAAUGUUCACAUGCUGCAUGUAAAUGCAAGAUGCAUGCAAAUCAAAUGAUUUUUCCUACUCAUUGCGCUUCUGGCAGUCUUUGCACUUAAGCCUUAUUUGGUUGAAUUACAGUAAUACAGCAAUCUUUUCAGUGUAGGAGCCAGAGUAAGAUCGCUUUUCAUCCUUUGUCUAAUGCUCAGGGUAGCUAUAAUGCAGACCUAAAAAACAGGGAGGGAAAUGUUUAAUAACCUCAGCGAAAGGUUCAUACAAUAAUUACAGUAUGCUGAGAAAAGAGGGCUCAAAUAUGCUGAGAUUUCAGAUUGGCACUUUCUUAAAUGUGUUUGAAGCACUUCAUUACUGCUUACCCUAAUAACCUCAAGACAUGCAAGUAUUUACGUAAUGAUUCAGUUACUUGUAAAAGGUUAUGUGAAAUAGGAUGUAUUAAAAUGAGAGGAACGGGCACAGAGGCUACAGCAAACAGUAGCACAGCAUAGUUUUUACUUAUUUCAGUAAUAACAGUUUGUGUUUCUGUGUGUGUGUGUCUAGUGUUCUUGAUAAUAAGACCAACAUGCAAUGACAUAAAUCAAUAAAGAAAUUUUUCUGCCUUGGCUACUUG